GACGAACGCUGGCGGCGUGCUUAACACAUGCAAGUCGAACGGAAAGGCCCUGCUUUUGUGGGGUGCUCGAGUGGCGAACGGGUGAGUAACACGUGAGUAACCUGCCCUUGACUUUGGGAUAACUUCAGGAAACUGGGGCUAAUACCGGAUAGGAGCUCCUGCUGCAUGGUGGGGGUUGGAAAGUUUCGGCGGUUGGGGAUGGACUCGCGGCUUAUCAGCUUGUUGGUGGGGUAGUGGCUUACCAAGGCUUUGACGGGUAGCCGGCCUGGGAGGGUGGCCGGCCACAUUGGGACUGAGAUACGGCCCAGACUCCUACGGGAGGCAGCAGUGGGGAAUAUUGCACAAUGGGCGGAGGCCUGAUGCAGCAACGCCGCGUGCGGGAUGACGGCCUUCGGGUUGUAAACCGCUUUCGCCUGUGACGAAGCGUGAGUGACGGUAAUGGGUAAAGAAGCACCGGCUAACUACGU
rnacentral:rRNA from 1 species